GAAAUGCGAUAAGUAAUGUGAAUUGUAGAAUUCCGUGAAUCAUCGAAUCUUUGAACGCACAUUGCGCCCUCUGGUAUUCCGGGGGCAUGCCUGUCCGAGCGUCAUUGCGAACCCCUCAAGCACGGCUUGUGUGAUGGGCCCUCCCGCGUCUUGGUCGUCAAGACGGGCCCGAAAUGCAGUGGCGGCUUCGCGGUUAUCCGAUCAGCCAGAGCGUAUGGGGACUUUCUCUCUGUCACACGCCCGCGGCGCGGACCGACGCCUGUCGACCUUUAUUCAUCUUUUUCUCGGUUGACCUCGGAUCAGGUAGGGAUACCCGCUGAACUUAAGC
rnacentral:misc_RNA from 1 species